GAUUGUAGCUGGGGGUGUUAACACCGCAAGCAGUCCUCGGUUGCCCAGGAAACAGAUGGUGGCUGAAGGGCGCGCAUACAAAAGAGCACAAACCUGUGGCAGCAGCUGGGGAGCGGCUCACUGACUUAUUCAUGUUGGCGCAGCCCCUCGCAGCCAAAUACGUCGCUUGUCUUUGUUUCGGGAUUCAUGCACAUUAUCUGGUUUUCCAAAGUGGACUGUGCGUAGCUGUUGACGGCACUCCCACUUAUGGUCGCAGCAGCUCUGCAACCAUCCACUGCGUAGGAGCGAGCAGUUUUUUACUGCAGUGAAGAACACGAAAUUGUCAUUUUGGAAGCAGCAUGGAGGUAGACUACCGUGUGAGAUCUAAUGCAAUCCUGUCGUUGUGGAACGUAUGCAACCUAGUGAUGAUUGCAGGGAUCAGAAGUGCUGGGCCCGACUGAAUUUAUCAACAAGGACCAUAGAGCUGAUACCAAUUGCUGGGAGUAUCUGAAUCGGAACCAGCACCUGUACAGGUUAUGUUCACAAGACAACAUCCAAUUUUAGUUGCUAUCAGUUAGAUAAAUAAUACAUUUUUACGAUAGUGGGUUAUACAGUGUGUGCAAUAUAUUAGUCUAUCACUUGUACAGCUUUUCUUGUAUGUUCCUCCUAGAUAUUGACAGACACCAAGAUCUCAUUUUGGACUUCAUUGUACUCCUGUGCUGAUGACAUGGCUUGAAUGGCCUCCUCUGUACUGCUUCAUAGACGGAGGUGCCAUAUCUGUUGACCCGUACCCUCAGAGGAUGGAUCAUCUUCUCAUGAGUUUGUGUUUCAGCGAAAUAUGCAUUUGAGUGUCCAGAUUUCUACCUGUGUAUAAGUACAAUUUUUUACAGGAAUGGGCAGCACAGGUGGAGUCCGAUGACAAUAAUCUGUCUUCUCUUUCAAUCAUCUACUGUGUAUUUGCACAGAUUUGAUGAAUCCAAAACUAGCUUGACCAAUUCACCACUUUUUGCCUCAUGAAACUGACACUGAAGCUGCAAAAAAAUACUUUUCUGCUGUGUGCACCUGUUGCCUUGGUUAUUUUCUCUCUUCUCCCUGUGAAGAAAACUUCUAUUAUUUGUUUCACCCCUUUGGUUGAACCAUUUGAUGCACUUCACACUCUCAAACUGUCAGUAAUUUACAAUCAUAAAUGUUGAUCAUACUGAUCUCCUUAUGUCCCAUAUAGAUUACACUGUACAGUGUGUGCUUAUUAGCGCAGUGUGUGUCUGUGUGAGGACAUGUAGUGUAUGCAUGAGCCACAAGUCAGCGUCUUUGCGUGUCCAUGUGCAUGUGCAUUCUGAUACAACGUACGGGUUCCUUUAGCCGCCGAAUGCACCAGACACUGGAGAAGAUAUUUACAAAUCAUGAUUCGGCAUUUGUUUUGGCUUAGCAACUAUGAACAACCACUCCGAAUAAGCCGAAAGUAACUAUAAUAGAAGGAUCCUUGUGAACAAUCACAAGAGUGGCUCAUAAACCUCCUGGUAAUGCUUUACCAGUAUUAUCUGAUUCAUGAACAAAAUCCAGCAAAUGCUAAUAAUUGUGCAAAUAGAUUUGUACCCAGGUCUGGAUUAUACUAACAUUAUUUCUCUGUCAACACUAAUUUCUGCUAACAUUGGUGAUUACUAACCUCUCUGAAUGCUGAUGGCUGUCUAACUCACUGACUAACCCCUCUGCUUUAUGGCCGCAGUUGCACAUACUGUACUGUAUAUACGCUCCUCUCUGGUGAUCCUGCAACCCCUCUUGUAAAAAACAACUAUUCAUUACAGACAGACACCAAAGAUAAACACUAACAUGAGUUAUCAAGAAGGGUUUCAAGAUUUGAGGAGGAAAACGGAAUGAGCCAGAAGCGGGAAAGUGGCAUAUCAAGCUGGCUUGACCACAUAAAUCCUCAAAGAUUUUCUUGCAGUUGAAAAGUACAUCACAGCUCUGUCACUCUGGGGGCUAAAUUUACAGAAGCAGAUAUGUGUAUCGCUUUGUGUGGACAGUGUGGUCAAGCUUUGCAGGUGAGUGCCUGAAUUGUUGUCACCAAGGGCAACAACUCUCUGUGGCUCUGAUACUAACAGUAGUGAGGCUGCCAAAUACUAACAUUUCUACUCUGCUAUGCAAAACUCUUCAUAUUUCUUCACGUUUUGCAACCAAAGUAUUCUUCGUCCUUGUUGAUCAUCUGACUAAAGCAUGACCUGUGUUAACGUGCACUUCUUGAAAUCCUAAUGAGGACUAAUCAUUGAUGCAAUGACCAACCACUAACAUUCCUAGAAAUAUUACCGAUACUAACCAAAAAAGCUUUGAAUAACUAACAAACUAACAUACUAAUUAACUAACAAAUAAACUAACAUCACUAACUAAAUCUUGAAAUCGUUAGCAUCCACAUUUAGAAGAGUUACAUCACGUAUUGAGUGUGCUAACAAGGUUGAAUUGAAUGUGUGUGCAGGGGAGUGUGUGGAUCUGUGCACAUAUGGAGGCCACUUCCAUGCUGUCUGUCGCCCUGAUUUUGAGUGUUCUAAUGAAAAGCUUAAAUAUGAUGCAUAAUCUUGUCACCACUGCCAACAAUAACUCAUUUUUUCUAGCUGAGAAUCAAAAAAGGUUCCGUCUUAAAUUUGAAUAAACCAUGGGACGGUCUGCAGCAUUUUCCUAGCACAAGUCAUCCCUUUAUGAUCUUGCCACACGAUGUCACACUUAGUGAAUCCAGGAGCAAAUCAGAGUUCCUUCCAAACAUGAUGCCACAAGUUAUUUGCAUCUUUCAGAUCAAAACUCUCAAUCGGGAUGACCCCAAUAAAGUAUUUACAUUAAAAAGUGAACAAUUUUGUACACUGUUCUUCCACCAAGAAAAUGUUCUCUGACUUAUGCUUGUGUGUUUUUGUACCGAUCAGGGAUGGUAUUCAUAUGUAUUUAAUAUAUUCUUGUCCUUUGUAAUAAACACUUUUACCAUGUU